CUGGCCUCACUGCCCCCCCACCUCCAGGAGGGACCUAACUGAGGGGGUCCUGUUGUCUGUGCCUGCAAGACCUUUCUUGGACUGUGUUCCUGUCGUCUAAAUAAACCUGCUUUACUGGCUGACUGAGAGUCACGGUGAAUCUCAGGAAGCCGGGGGUGCAGGGCCUUGUCUCCCCCACCCUCUGUGACACUCUGCCUUUGGGAUUCUUAUCGCAGGGCGUGGUCAGUGUAGCGCUGGCAAUCAGAAGACUCAGCAUGUGACCUCAGGGCAAGUCAUGCCCUGGUGCUGUGCCUCAGUUUACCCAGCUGUCCAGUGUGGAUAAUCCUGACAGCCGCAGGAAGACAGGAGCAGGAGGUGUCGAGGGCAGUUUGCUGAUGUUUGAAAAGAACUUUGGGAUCCCAACCUGGAGGGGGCUAAAGAGAGUGAAGGAUGAUUAGUAGCUAUUAUUAGAGUGUAGGGGAAAGAUCUUAGAGUCCUCGGUUCCCUAAUGUUGAGCAUGAGAAAGAAAAAAAGAAAGAAAACCUAGAUGGGGGUGUAUGGAGUUAGAUUCCCCAACCACCCCCAGUCCUCCCUGCCCUGAUCCUGUCGGCCAUGCCUAGCCCUGGUACUUGGUUACCAUGUGGUCCUAGCCAAUGCAGCUGCUGGUUGUUUUAGUUGCCUCAGCUGUUUCCUGCUCCCCCCCCCCACCAUCACCCAGAGCACAGAGCUGUCCCAACCCAGCUCCAUCCACUGUUUGCCCCCUUCCCACCUCCCCUGCAGCAGCUGGGGGAGGGUUUAACUCAAGCCCUCAGGUCGCUGCUGUGGCCCUAGCAUGGGCCAGCCAAGACCCCAUAUCUCCUACUUGGAAACAGCUGAGCCUUUUAGCUGAAGCUUUUCCAAAAUAUGCAGCUGGAGGCUGGAACCAGCCCAAACCGGUUCAAUUAUGGUCAAGUGACAAGCAAGAUCUUAUCCUAGGACAUGCCAGGGAAUGCUAACUCCAGGCAGUGCUACCAGUUCUGAUGCUCCAGGGGAAUGAUACUCAGCUCCUUGGUAAAGUGCUCUAGAUCUACGGAUGAAACGUGCUAGGUUCCUCGCUGAUGCUCAGCUCUCGCAGGUACUGCUUUCACCAUCUCUGGCUGGCUCGGAGACUGCGUCCCACCUGGCAGGCAAUGCCCUGGCAGUGGUGCUACCGGCCAGCAUCUCCUCCCACCUGGGCUCCGGCACUGCCAUAGAUCUGGGCAUGAAGCCCUUGGAGAGCUCCAGGGGGUUCCGAACACUGCACCACAGGCUUCCGUGAGCAGGUCCCGCUGUUGCCAACCUCAAGAGAGCAAAAAACAUGAGUCAGACCCCAAAACAUCAGCAGAUUGGCUCAAAAAACAUGGAAUAUUUUUGUUUUUAAA